CCUACGGGUGGCAGCAGUGGGGAAUAUUGGUCAAUGGGCGAAACCCUGAUCCAGCGACGCCGCGUGAGUGAAGAAGUAUUUCGGUACGUAAAGCUCUAUCAGCAGGAAAGAAAAUGACGGUACCUGACUAAGAAGCCCCGGCUAACUACGUGCCAGCAGCCGCGGUAAUACGUAGGGGGCAAGCGUUAUCCGGAUUUACUGGGUGUAAAGGGAGCGCAGACGGCUGUGCAAGUCUGGAGUGAAAGGCGGGGGCCCAACCCCCGGACUGCUCUGGAAACUGUAAAGCUGGAGUGCAGGAGAGGUAAGCGGAAUUCCUAGUGUAGCGGUGAAAUGUGUAGAUAUUAGGAGGAACACCAGUGGCGAAGGCGGCUUACUGGACUGCAACUGACGUUGAGGCACGAAAGCGUGGGGAGCAAACAGGAUUAGAUACCCCUGUAGUC
rnacentral:rRNA from 1 species